rnacentral:rRNA from 1 species
GACGAACGCUGGCGGCGUGCUUAACACAUGCCAGUCGAACGGUGAAGCGCCUUCCUUUUUGGUGGGUGUGGAUGAGUGGCGAACGGGUGAGUAACACGUGAGUAACCUGCCCUCUUCUUCUGGAUAACCGCAUGAAAGUGUGGCUAAUACGGGAUAUUCUGGGUCUGUCGCAUGAUGGGUCUGGGAAAGCUAUUGUUUCGGUGGGGGAUGGGCUCGCGGCCUAUCAGGUUGUUGGUGGGGUGAUGGCCUACCAAGGCGGUGGCGGGUAGCCGGCCUGAGAGGGUGGGCGGUCACAGUGGGGCUGAGACACGGCGCAGACUCCGACGGGAAGCAGCAGUGGAGAAUAGUGCACAGUGGGCACAAGGCUGAUGCAGCGACGCGGCGGGGGAGAUGGAGGCCUUCGGGUUGUGAACCUCUGUCGCGAGUGAAGCGGGCCUGCCUCGUUUGUGGGUGGGUUGACGGUAGCUGGAGAAGAAGCGCCGGCUAACUACGUG